rnacentral:rRNA from 1 species
AUGGAGGACGACGACGAGUUCGGCGACCUCUACACGGACAUCGUCCUCCCGACGUCCGAGCCCCCGAGGCCGCCGCCGCCCGCCGAAACCCCGCCGCGCGCCGCCCCGGCCCCAAACCCUAAUUCCGCGCCAGCCCCCGCGUCGGCCGCGGCAGCGGCGGGCGACGAGGAAGAAGACGACGAUGACUGGCUGCUCGGAGGGGGCGACCCCCUCGCCGGGGUCGACCCCACCACCGACUGGGUCGACGAGGACGACGAUGGCGGCGCGCCCCCCGCCGUGAAGCGCGAGGUUGAUGCGAAGCCGCCGGCCCCCGCCGCGGAGGAUCCCGAUCCGCUCAUGGGGGUCGGCGCGGACGACCCCGGGGCGGCCAUCCCGGGGCUCUCGUCCUCGGCGGCGGCCGGUGGUGCUGCCGGGAGCGACGACUGGGAUAGCGACAGCGAGGACGACCUCCAGAUCGUGCUCAACGAGACGGACGGACGCCGGCGGCUCGGGGAGGACGAAGGCGACGACGAGGACGGGGAAGACCUCCUCAUCGUCGCCGAUGGACCUCACAUCCCCGGCAUGGAGGAGCAGGAGUGGGUGGAGGACGGGACAGCGGCUGGGCCCGAGGGAGAGAGAAAAGAGGGCGGUGAGCCUGGGAAGACGGGCCCCAUGCCUGGCGGGAGGAUCGGGUACAGUGGCGGCGGCCCGGGGUUCCACCCGCAGCACCAUUCCAUGUUCAAGUAUGUACGACCUGGCGCUCCAACCGGUGGGGCUCCUAGUGCUCCUGGCCAAUUCCGUCCACCUGGACCCCCGGGACCUUUUUCUGGUCGAGGAAGAGGAGACUGGCGGCCUGGUGCUGGCAGGGGCAUGAAUAAAGGUUUUCAUUCAGGCUAUGGAAUGACUCCAUGGGGUGGUUCUGGUCGUGGUUUUGGUGGCGGACUAGAUUUCACACUUCCUCCUCACAAGAUAAUUUUUGAUAUUGACAUUGACACCACAUUUGAGGAGAAGCCAUGGAAAUACCCUGGUGCUGAAAUUUCAGACUUCUUCAACUUUGGGCUUGAUGAGGAGNNNNNNNNNNNNNNNNNNNNNCACCAGGAUCAAUCACGAUUGGAGUCCACAAUGCAAUCUAGAAUACGGGUGUACGAGAGUGGGCGCUCAGAACAGGACUACGAUCCAGAUUUGCCACCGGAGCUAGCUGCUGCGGCUGGCCAUCAUGACGUUUCUGCUGAUAAUCGGAAUAAAGUAGAUAAUGGACAUACAGAUUUCAGUGCCCAAGGGAGAGUUCCUACAAGCAACCGACCUGCAGUGAUGACGGGCAGACCUAUACAAGUUGAAACUGGUUAUGGAGAACGUUUUCCGUCUGCUGAUACACGUACAGCUCGAAACCGUGAAUCAGAUUCUGUUGUUAUAGAGAUUGUAUGUGAGCCUCCGGCAGAUGAUCCAGUAGUUGCUGAUAGUUCAGUGGAUCAGUCUGAGAAGGAUUCUCAAGGAGGUAAAAAAAGCAACGGUGUUGAGGAGAGCGAGGUCUAUACACCAGAGAAGACGAACAAUUCUUCUUAUAAUUCCUCUCUGGGAAAGGCAGAACAUACCAGAAGGUUGCCUGUCUCAUCUGAAGGUGAUAUGCUCACAUCAGAUGUUCAGGUCCGUUCCCCGCCGAACUACAAAAUAAGGGGCUCUCCUUCUCGUGGAGUAAGGUUGAAAGGACGCUCUCAGGGUGUAAACCCUAGCCGAGAAGCUGAAAGCUCCAAUGAAGUACCUCGCAAAACAACAUCCUCAAAGAGACGCCGUGAUACCCCGAGAGAUAGCAAACCUGUUGAUGACUCAGAAACUAAGGAUGGCUUAAAACGGUCACCUACUGUUGCUGAUGAAACGACAGACAAGCUGAGCACAGAAGAUCAAUUUGCUGAUAAUGAUGAUAGGCUUGCUUUGGUUGAUAGUGCUGAAGUGGAUGCUGAUGAUGCUAUCUCAGAACCUCACAUGGCUAGCGAUACGAAUGAGGAUGAUAACGAGGAUCAUUCUAGUAAAAGGCAGAAGAUCAUUUCUAAGGUUGAGCAGCCCCCUGGACUCAUUAAUAGUAGUGAUCAAGUCGAUUUGAAGACACUGAAUAGUGAAAACAGUAGAGGAGUGAGGUCUGGUAGCAGCAAAGAUCAUCAGAAACGCCUUGAAUCUGGUGAAGAAGUUCUGCAAGAUAGGCGGUCCAGGCGUGUAAAUGAUGUGAGAAGGCAUCAUGAUGGAGAAGAACGCGAUCCCCGUCGAAAGGACGUGUCUGCUCGAGACGUCAAACCUGAAAUAGAAAGGACACAUUUGGCUUCUAGAGGUAGGGAUGAUAUCCACCAUCCUUACGGGAACAGAGAUCGGGACAUACGCGGUAAAAGUUUUGAUAGGGUAAGAGAGACUGAAAUUUUGCAGAGGAGAGAAGACAGCAUGCACAACAGAAGAGGCAAGGAGGAAGAUUUGAGACUCAACUACAAUGCUGAAGUUGGUGCAAGACAUAGAAAUAAGUUGAGACCUAUUGAUAGGAAUGACAGGGAUGAAGAUCCUCAUCCAAGGAAAUUGCUGGAUGAUGGUGACUGGAGGGGCUCUAGACAAAGAGAGCGUGGUGAUAUGGUUUUGAAUAGUCGUGAAAGUUUAGAUGAUUCUCAUAUCAAGAGAAAGAAAGAUGAAGAGAACACCAGGAGAAUGAAACCUGAGAAUGAAGAUGCAGUCCACGGUUAUAGAGGAAGGGAUGAUCCAAACAGAAGGAAGAGAGAACGGGAUGAUGGAAUUGAUCAGAAAAGAAGAGACGAUGGUGUUAGGAUGCGGGAGAAGGCUGAUGAUCGUAGUAUUGUGAAGAAUAAAGAGGACAGCUUGCGACAGAGAGAAAAGGACGACAGGCAGAGGCCUAAGCAUGAAAGCACACUGCUCCUUCAGAGAGAAGAAGGCAGAGGAACUGGUCGGGGUGGACGGGUUAUGGAUGACAAAAUUGUCGGUGGUGGUAGGAAGAAGGAUGAAUCAAGAUCUGCAUUGUUGAGCAAAGAAACCCUAGAGCGCAACAAACAAAAUGAGCCUGGGAGGAGAGGUCAAGGUGCAGAAGAAAACAGCACACAGAAUAAAGGGCGAGCUGAUGUGCGUCCACGUGAUGACAAUCCAAAUAACAAUGAAAGGAACUCCAGACAAGAUAAAAUAAACAAGAUUCAUGACAAUAAUCGUGUAUCUAGCAGUUCUGAUGCUCGCCAGGCUAGUAGGGAUAAGCCGAGGGAGAGCACAAGAAAGGGCAGAGGCUCUGUGCCAAAUGAGCAAGAUCUUCACAGAUCUAGCAAGAGAAGACGGGAAGACCAUGAAAGCCAUCGUAGUGGGAAGGUUGAGGCGAAAGGAGGGAGGGAGCAACAAAAUGGUAGGGAUCAUGCUACAUCAUCCAAAACGAGCAAGAAUCCUCAACAACAUGAUUCAUUUGUGAAACAAGGGGAAGAAGAAGCCAUGUCAGAUGAUGAGAACACCGAUGAUUCAAGAAGGGGUCGGUCUAAGCUGGAGCGAUGGACAAGCCACAAAGAGAUUGACUAUAGUACUAUUGAUAAUGAGACCACACAUGCAUUUCCUUCCAUCAAAGCUGAUGUUCAACUCCCCACUGCUGAUGCGUCAGGUAAAUCUGAUGUUCCUGCUAUAGUUGUCAGUUCGGACAUGAAGAACAGUGGUGAUAAUGGGCAAGCCUCUGAGAUGACGGCUGAAGAGCGUGACCGACAUCUAGACACGGUUGAGAGGCUCAAGAGAAGAAGCGAACGAUUCAAACUUCCCAUGCCUGGCGAGAAGGAGGUACCCCAGAACAAAAAGGUUGAUGCUGAAGUGCAGACUCCCCAGAAUGAAUUGCCUGCUGCUGAUGUUGAAGUGAAGCCUGAGCGGCCAGCUCGCAAGAGGAGAUGGGCUGGGAGUUGA